CCUACGUGAGGCAGCAGUGGGGAAUAUUGCACAAUGGGGGAAACCCUGAUGCAGCGACGCCGCGUGAGUGAAGAAGUAUUUCGGUAUGUAAAGCUCUAUCAUCAGGGAAGAAAAUGACGGUACCUGAUUAAGAAGCCCCGGCUAACUACGUGCCAGCAGCCGCGGUAAUACGUAGGGGGCAAGCGUUAGCCGGAUGUACUGGGUGUACAGUGAGCGUAGACGGCAGCACAAGGCUGGAGUGAAAUGCCGGGGCUUAACCCCGGAACUGCUUUGGAAACUGUGCAGCUAGAGUGCAGGAGAGGUAAGUGGAAUUCAUAGUGUAGCGGUGAAAUGCGUAGAUAUUAGGAGGAACACCAGUGGCGAAGGCGGCUUACUGGACUGUAACUGACGUUGAGGCUCGAAAGCGUGGGGAGCAAACAGGAUUAGAUACCCGAGUAGUC
rnacentral:rRNA from 1 species